rnacentral:lncRNA from 1 species
AAAAAAAAAAACCUAUGCCCCUCUACAAAUAUGUGAAUAUGGUUUUUUUUUGUUUUGUUUUGUUUUUAUAAUCUAUGAAUAAUCUAUGAAAUAUGCGGAUUGAUUAUAUAUGUUUCUAACUGCACUACAUCCGUACAUUUGGUUGGAUGUAAUGUUAAGAAGUUCCACAUCGGAUGUGAGUUGACCUAGACAAUCGUUUAUAAGUAAGAAAUAAUUUUCA